rnacentral:rRNA from 1 species
UACAGAGGGUGCAAGCGUUGUUCGGAAUUAUUGGGCGUAAAGCGCGCGCAGGCGGUUUCUUAAGUCUGAUGUGAAAGCCCCCGGCUCAACCGGGGAGGGUCAUUGGAAACUGGGAAACUUGAGUGCAGAAGGGGAAAGUGGAAUUCCAAGUGUAGCGGUGAAAUGCGUAGAGAUCCCCAAGAACACCAGUUGCGAAGGCGGCUGACUGGACACAUAUUGACGCUGAGGCUCGAAAGCAUGGGGAGCAAACAGG